rnacentral:lncRNA from 1 species
CUUGAAGUUGCAGUUGAUGUAUAUGAUGUAUACAAGCUCUAUUGAUUAAUAACCAAAACCAUAUAGUAACAUGAUUGAACUAGCUAGUUGUUGAAGUUGUUGACUCUUUUGCUUGGUCCAGAAGAUGGAACUUUCCCUUUAGGGAGCAUGUUCAAUAUCAAUGGCAUAUAUUUGCCACUGUUGGGAAGUGCAAUGUUUAAGGUUGUCUUAGUGGCUGCAUGACUAAUGUCACCAUUCAAGAGCCUUGCAGAUGAAGAAGAUAUUAGAAACAGAAACAAUAGAAGUAAGAGUGCAUGUUGGUGGUUGUAGUUUGUCAUUUUGUAAUGAGAAAGAGAAGAUUGAGAAUUUGAGAGUAUUAUGGAAAAGAUUUUAUGUCGGUAAUGUUUGAUUUGUGGGAUGAGAUGUGAGAUUGAUUUGGUGAACAUGUUUAUAUAUGGAAGUAGAGUGGGAAUGGGAG